CUGCUGAAAUGUGAACAGAUUCCUACCUUGGCAAAACAUAGCACCAGUUACUUAAUAUGGAAUGUUGCUGAAUAACUGUAUUUUCACUGCUGUCAAACAGUUUUACAGUGUUUGCUGAAAUAUCAAAAUCUCCUAGCUUAAAACAGAAAAGAAAGUUUAUUUGUAAAUAAUUCUACAGCACUACAAAUUUAAAAUUUUCAAAAAUAAUUGAAUAUCACAAUACACUGAAACUUGAUAUAUUAUUAUUCAUCAGCUCUCACAGACUGGUUAUUUCAGAUUGAUUAUUCCCAUCAUCAAAUUGCACGCUAUCUUCUGUUAAAGCCUGCACUUCCACAAGCCAUGCAAGUACAAGGCUUAAAGUUUAUUGAAAACAGAGAGAUUUAAACUUUAUUCAAAAUGGUUUAAUAAGAGUAUAGAAGGAAUUUCUCAAACUGAGAGCAGUCUCACUUCAAUGCAAGUUUUUAAAAAGUUCAAAUCAGAUACCUAUGCUUGACAUUCUAGUAACUGAGUGUGUCACUUUGCCUAAACAUGUGCAAGUGUCCAAGGAACAGAAUUAAUGGGACAUGCAGUUUCAUCCUCUGAGAAGUCAAAAAACACCACACUUUUUCCCAAUGUCAGAAUUUGGCUGUACGGAACAAUCAAAGACAGAGAUUUCAUAAACAUUUUAUCUUUCCAUAAUCUAUGAGGGUUUUCAUUUAUUCACUGAGAAGAAAAUCUGGCCAUUUCUGUUUUAGAAAACUAUUGAAAGGAUCAAACUGGUAAUAAAGCCAUAUCAUGACCUUUUCCAUCAUUGGUCUAUAUAAUUUAGGAACUGGCUUCUUAUAGAUAGCUUUAAUAUUUAUGCUGUCUCAAGCAGGUCUCAGAAGAAAUCCUAUUCUUCUAUUUCAAGAAAGAAGAGCAUGGAUCAGAAAUAUUUAUUUUAGAAGAAACCAGCAAGCCUGACAAAUACGCCCUGCGUGUAUGGAUAUACUCAACACAGGGAAAAACAUAAUGCUUAGUGAAUGCUAAGGAGCCUACAUCUGCUUUCCAAAGAGUCUUUCCACUUAUUCUCAACCUACAUGAAGCAUCCCAGCUUUGCAGUGUAACACUUUAAACAGAUUAACCUCCAUCAUAUCCAAGAAAAAUCACUAGGCAACUAAAUCCCAGAGCUCGGCAGCACAGCAAUUUCCAGUAAUAACCUGGAGUCGGAAUGAAGAACCUCCUUAUCAAAGCUGGGAACAACACCAAUCUGAGGGGGAGUCGCUACUCUUACUGUCUGAAAAGUUGAGGCGGGAUCUAUCUGAAGGUGGUGGUGGCAUUCCAUGAAGUACAAACCUGUCCUGCACUCAGGCUCAGGGUGCAGAAGUUAAGCACCAGCUCCCAGGAAGGAUGACAGGUCACACUGGGCAAGUUUUAUGCUGAAAAAAAAAAAAAACAAACAAACCCACAAAUCCAGGCUAUAAUCACGCCUGAGUGUGUCCAUGGGGCUAAUUGCUGCUGAGGCACCCAAUUUGCGUAUGGAUAUGACAUGGGGAUGUGGAGACCCGUACUGGCCUGAAACACAGACAAAGCCAUCGCACACAUCUGAGACCAGAGCAAA